AAAACUUUCAACAACGGAUCUCUUGGCUCUGGCAUCGAUGAAGAACGCAGCGAAAUGCGAUAAGUAAUGUGAAUUGCAGAAUUCCGUGAAUCAUCGAAUCUUUGAACGCACAUUGCGCCCUUUGGUAUUCCGAAGGGCAUGCCUGUUCGAGCGUCAUU
rnacentral:rRNA from 1 species